UUGCCCUAGCCACAGAGCUCGCACCGUCGCCGGCUAGCCACGCCCUAGCGUCGUAUGCCAUGCGUGCCACCGCUGCAGUACUUGCCCACCACGCACACGUAAGCCACAGCCGCCACCGACCACCGCUCAGCAGUCCGUCGGCGCCCAGCCACCAAACACGCAGCUAGCCGGGUUUGGCCAGCGCCAGGCCACCAUGGCCGCGGCUCCAACUUCCAACGCUGUGCCCCGCCUGGCAACCAACUGCGUCCACCGCCUCCUGGCUGGCUAGGCAGGAUAGAGACAGAUGUCUCAUCCAGUGCUCCACUCCUCCAUAGUAUAAUAACUUCAUUGGAUUUAAUUAUUGCGGCAUCCUUUUCUGCUUGAGACACCUGCUGAAGCUGGAAGUACAUGCUUUCUUAUUCCUCUCUUUUCUCCUUAUGGUACAAGGAUGAUUAUACUUGGUAAGGAAAUGUUGGUUUUCUCAUCCAAUUCAGAUAAUCUCGUUUCCAUUUGAUCACACGUGCUUCAUACAUCACAUGGAUAGUAUGUAUGAAUCCUAAAAAGAUCUAAUUGAACAUCGUCAUUUAAUUAAUACAUGUCGGUCAUUUUGCAACCCUUGUUAACAAUAACCAGACUGAUGGAUUUUCUACCGCCGUAAAUUUCAAGUAAAUUUUUUGUUAUGAUGUUCAAUUUUUCUUGUCAUGUGCGGCGGAAACAUAAGUAGGCUGGAUAAAUAGUUUUGUAAUUUUUAUGCCUAAACAUGUUCAAACAAAUUGUUUGUAAUCUAAUGUAUGCAACUUUGAUGCUUAGCUGUUAUGUUAAAUACUGAAUGUACUAUAAAAUUAUAUAUUAGAUAUGAUUUAUAUAUAAAAUUAUAUAUUAUAUAUGAUUUAGUCCCUCUAUUUUAUUUCAUUUUAGAUUCUAAAUUGCUAAAUGCGGAAACUAAAACUUCAUUUUAUAAGUUGUUGGCUUCAGAUUAAACCUAGUUGUUUGUACUGCUGCAAUUAUAAUAUACAGAGAUUUUUUUUUUGUAAGAGUAGUAGAAUUUGGUAUAGACUAAACCCACACGAACACGUUGACGAAUUACGUGCUUCUCGCGAAAAAAAAUCAUAUGGCUCAUAGAGACGGCCCAAAUUCAUAAUUUCUAGGCCGUGAUUUGUAGAGGUUAUUGCAGGAAAAAAAAGAGAGAAAUUUUUAUAUAACAUUAAAUGGGAUCGUUACAUGUAGCUGCAUGCGGAUGUCUUUAUUUGCAUCUGGUGUGAUGGGGAUAUAGGCUGCA